rnacentral:rRNA from 1 species
UCAUCGAUUCACACCUUCAUUUUAGUUGGGAACAAGUAUGUACCCGAAAAGACCAUGCUUUACCCGGUGAAGUUUAUCCAAGUAACGAGGCCGGGUCUUAUGCUAAUUAGGCCGUACCCGAUGUACUCGAGGUUCAUCAAAUGGCCUGUUUAACUAUUCAGACCGUAAGGGUCGGGUGGUUCGUUUCGGCCACCAAAGAACCAGUGCUGGUCGAUUUUGCUUUCAAGGUAAUUUCUCGCAAAGGUGCACCAUCUUGGAGGAGUCCCUUAUAUUCUAAAAGUACUCCGACUAGGACUCGACGGUAGGUGCGUACUUAUGGGAGCAAAUUUUCUUAUAAAAACCACAUCUUUCAGAGUUUAAGUCCUAGAAGGCGACGUGCCUAAAGGACCCUUUGUUUCAGUAUCCGUGCAUUCAAGUCUCGGUUCGGUUGAUGCGGUUAUCGUGAGUAGGUAUUUGGCCACUGCCCAUGUUUAUCGUAUUUCUUUACAUUGGUUGCAAAUAACCUUUUUCGUUGUGGUUUCUAAACCCUGGUUUUCGCCAAUCGUCACUGGUAACUUAUUCAAAGAAGU